rfam:Myotis davidii contig13198, whole genome shotgun sequence.
UGCAGUUCUUGGGUGCACCCCGGAAUCCAGCUCCCUCUUCUCUGGUUCCGAGUGCAUCACCUGAGAACUGCC